rnacentral:rRNA from 1 species
AACGUACGCUGGCGGCACGCCUAACACAUGCAAGUCGAACGAAGUAGCAAUACUUAGUGGCAGACGGGUGAGUAACAUGUAGGUAUCUGCCCUUUGGCCUGGAAUAACACGAGGAAACUUGUGCUAAUACCGGAUAAGUCUUUACGGAGAAAGCUUUAUGCACCAAUGGAUGAGCCUGCACUUGAUUAGUUUGUUGGUGGGGUAAUGGCCUACCAAGACUGUGAUCAAUAGCUGAUUUGAGAGGAUGAUCAGCCACAUUGGGACUGAGACACGGCCCAAACUCCUACGGGAGGCAGCAGUGGGGAAUCUUGCACAAUGGAGGAAACUCUGAUGCAGCGAUGCCGCGUGAGUGAAGAAGGCCCUUGGGUUGUAAAGCUCUUUCGUCGGGGAAGAAAAUGACUGUACCCGAAUAAGAAGGUCCGGCUAACUUCGUGCCAGCAGCCGCGGUAAUACGAAGGGACCUAGCGUAGUUCGGAAUUACUGGGCUUAAAGAGUUCGUAGGUGGUUGAAAAAGUUAGUGGUGAAAUCCCAGAGCUUAACUCUGGAACUGCCAUUAAAACUUUUCAGCUAGAGUAUGAUAGAGGAAAGCAGAAUUUCUAGUGUAGAGGUGAAAUUCGUAGAUAUUAGAAAGAAUACCAAUUGCGAAGGCAGCUUUCUGGAUCAUUACUGACACUGAGGAACGAAAGCAUGGGUAGCGAAGAGGAUUAGAUACCCUCGUAGUCCAUGCCGUAAACGAUGUGUGUUAGACGUUGGAAAUUUAUUUUCAGUGUCGCAGGGAAACCGAUAAACACACCGCCUGGGGAGUACGACCGCAAGGUUAAAACUCAAAUGAAUUGACGGGGACCCGCACAAGUAGUGGAGCAUGUGGUUUAACUCGAAGAUACGCGCAGAACCUUACCAACACUUGACAUGUUCGUCGCGACUCUAAGAGAUUAGAGUUUUCGGUUCGGCCGGACGAAACACAGGUGCUGCAUGGCUGUCGUCAGCUCGUGUCGUGAGAUGUUGGGUUAAGUCCCGCAACGAGCGCAACCCUCACUUUUAGUUGCCAUCAUUAAGUUGGGCACUCUGAAAGAACUGCCAGUGAUAAGCUGGAGGAAGGUGGGGAUGACGUCAAGUCCUCAUGGCCCUUACGUGUUGGGCUACACACGUGCUACAAUGGUAUCUACAACAGGAAGCAAGACUGCGAAGUUAAGCGAAUCCCUAAAAGAUACCUCAGUUCGGAUUGCACUCUGCAACUCGAGUGCAUGAAGCUGGAAUUACUAGUAAUCGUGGAUCAGCGUGCCACGGUGAAUGCGUUCCCGGGUCU